AAAAGUCGUAACAAGGUUUCCGUAGGUGAACCUGCGGAAGGAUCAUUAUUGUACAACGGAGGNNUGAGGGCUGUCGCUGACCUUCAAAGGUCGUGACGCCCAAGCACUUUCAUACAAUCCAUCUCACCCCUUUGUGCAUCACCGCGUGGGUCCCCCUUGCGGGAGGGCUCGCGUUUUCACAUAAAACUCGAUACAGUGUAGAAUGUUCUUUUGCGAUCACACGCAAUCAAUACAACUUUCAACAAUGGAUCUCUUGGCUCUCGCAUCGAUGAAGAACGCAGCGAAAUGCGAUACGUAAUGUGAAUUGCAGAAUUCAGUGAAUCAUCGAAUCUUUGAACGCACCUUGCGCCCCUUGGCAUUCCGAGGGGCACACCCGUUUGAGUGUCGUGAAAUCCUCAAAAACCCUUUUCCUGUCAGGAAUGGGAUUUUUGGACUUGGAGGUUCAAUGCUUGCCUUUCACUUUUGAAAGUGAGCUCCUCUCAAAUGAAUUAGUGGGGUCCGCUUUGCUGAUCCUUAACGUGAUAAGAUGCUUCUACGUUUUGGAUCUAGCACUGUCCCUUGGAUGCCUGCUCCUAACUGUCCCACACGGACAAUGAUGGUGCUCUGGUCACCGCCAUCUACAUUGGCGGGAGGCUGGACCCACAAAACGAAAACCUUGACCUCAAAUCGGGGUGAGACUACCCGCUGAACUUAAGCAUAUCAAUAAGCGGAGGA
rnacentral:rRNA from 1 species